rnacentral:rRNA from 1 species
UACGUAGGGUGCGAGCGUUAAUCGGAAUUACUGGGCGUAAAGCGUGCGCAGGCGGUUUUGUAAGCCAGAUGUGAAAUCCCCGGGCUUAACCUGGGAAUGGCAUUUGGGACUGCAAGGCUGGAGUGCGGCAGAGGAGACUGGAAUUCCUGGUGUAGCAGUGAAAUGCGUAGAUAUCAGGAGGAAUACCGAUGGCGAAGGCAGGUCUCUGGGCUGACACUGACGCUCAUGCACGAAAGCGU